UACGAAGGGGGCGAGCGUUGUUCGGAAUCACUGGGCGUAAAGGGCGCGUAGGCGGCGCGGUAAGCGUGCGGUGAAAGCCCGGGGCUCAACCCCGGGUCGGCCGUGCGGACUGCCGGGCUGGAGCACUGUAGAGGCAGGUGGAAUUCCGGGUGUAGCGGUGGAAUGCGUAGAGAUCCGGAAGAACACCGGUGGCGAAGGCGGCCUGCUGGGCAGUAGCUGACGCUGAAGCGCGACAGCGUGGGGAGCAAACAGG
rnacentral:rRNA from 1 species